CGGAGGGGCGAGCGUUGUCCGAAGUUACUGGGCGUAAAGCGCGCGUAGGCGGGUUGUCAAGUCCGCUGUGAAAGCCCGAGGCUCAACCUCGGAGGGUCGGUGGAUACUGACAGUCUUGAAGGUGCUAGGGGGAGAUGGAAUUACCGGUGUAGCGGUGAAAUGCGUAGAGAUCGGUAGGAACACCAGUGGCGAAGGCGGUCUCCUGGGGCAUUCUUGACGCUGAUGCGCGAAAGCUGGGGGAGCGAACGGGAUUAGAUACCCCGGUAGUCCCAGCCCUAAACGAUGGAUACUAGGUGUCGGGGGUAUCGACCCCCCCGGUGCCGCCGCUAACGCAGUAAGUAUCCCGCCUGGGGAGUACGGCCGCAAGGUCG
rnacentral:rRNA from 1 species